rnacentral:rRNA from 1 species
CGAUAACGAACGAGACCUCGACCUGCUAAAUAGUUCGGCGAAUCUUUCGGGAUUCGUACGCGCUUCUUAGAGGGACUAUCGGUGUGUAGCCGAUGGAAGUUCGAGGCAAUAACAGGUCUGUGAUGCCCUUAGAUGUUCUGGGCCGCACGCGCGCUACACUGAUACGUUCAUCGAGCUUACAACCUUGACUGAGAGGUCUGGGUAAUCUUUUUAAAGCGUAUCGUGAUGGGGAUAGAUUAUUGUAAUUUUUAGUCUUCAACGAGGAAUUCCUAGUAAACGCGAUUCAUCAAAUCGCAUCGAUUACGUCCCUGCCCUUUGUACACACCGCCCGUCGCUACUACCGAUUGAAUGGCU